rnacentral:rRNA from 1 species
UACGUAGGGUGCGAGCGUUGUCCGGAAUUAUUGGGCGUAAAGCGCGCGUAGGCGGUCUUGUAAGUCGGAUGUGAAAUCCCUCGGCUUAACUGAGGAAGUGCAUCCGAAACUGCAAGGCUUGAGUACGAAAGAGGAUCGCGGAAUUCCCGGUGUAGAGGUGAAAUUCGUAGAUAUCGGGAGGAACACCGGUGGCGAAGGCGGCGAUCUGGGUCGAGACUGACGCUGAGGCGCGAAAGCGUGGGGAGCAAACAGG